GGUGCUGUGGCUCAAGUGGUAGAGUGCUAGCCUUGAGUGUGAGGCCCUGGGUUUGAUUCCUCAGCACCA
rnacentral:tRNA from 1 species